rnacentral:rRNA from 1 species
AACGAACGCUGGCGGCAGGCCUAAUACAUGCAAGUCGAGCGCUCUAGCAAUAGAGAGCGGCGCACGGGUGCGUAACGCGUGGGAAUGUACCUCUAGGUGCGGAACAACGUCGGGAAACUGACGCUAAUACCGCAUAAUAUCUCCGGAUCAAAGAUUUAUCGCCUAGGGACCAGCCCGCGUUGGAUUAGCUAGUUGGUGAGGUAAUGGCUCACCAAGGCGACGAUCCAUAGCUGGUCUGAGAGGAUGAUCAGCCACACUGGGACUGAGACACGGCCCAGACUCCUACGGGAGGCAGCAGUAAGGAAUAUUGGACAAUGGAGGAAACUCUGAUCCAGCCAUGCCGCGUGAGUGAAGAAGGCCUCGGUUGUAAGACUCUUUUAGUAUGUGACGAUGAUGACGGUAGCGAUCAGAAAAGACUACCGGCUAACUUCGUGCCAGCAGCCGCGGUAAUGUGAC